rnacentral:rRNA from 1 species
UACGUAGGGUGCAAGCGUUGUCCGGAAUCAUUGGGCGUAAAGAGCGUGUAGGCGGCCCGAUAAGUCCGCUGUGAAAGUCCAGGGCUCAACCCUGGAAUGCCGGUGGAUACUGUCGGGCUAGAGUCCGGAAGGGGCGAGUGGAAUUCCUGGUGUAGCGGUGAAAUGCGCAGAUAUCAGGAGGAACACCAAUGGCGAAGGCAGCUCGCUGGGACGGUACUGACGCUGAGACGCGAAAGCGUGGGAGCAAACAGG